AGAAUUUGAUCCUGGUUCAGAGCGAACGCUGGCGGCGCGCUUAACACAUGCAAGUCGCACGAGAAAGCGAGGGCAACUUCGCGAGUAAAGUGGCGAACGGGUGCGUAAUACACAACCAAUCUGCCCUGAGGACUGGCACAACCCCGGGAAACUGGGGCUAAUUCCGGAUGUCAUGCCGGGAUCGCAUGGUCUCGUCAUGAAAGGCACCUCGCAAGGGGUGCGCCACGGGAGGAGGUUGUGGCCUAUCAGCUAGUUGGCGGGGUAACGGCCCACCAAGGCUAUGACGGGUAGCCGGUCUGAGAGGAUGAUCGGCCACAAGGGGACUGAGACACUGCCCCUACUCCUACGGGAGGCAGCAGUGGGGAAUCUUGGGCAAUGGGCGAAAGCCUGACCCAGCGACGCCGCGUGGAGGAUGAAGGCCUUCGGGUCGUAAACUCCUGUCACGGGGGAAGAAAAACCGGCCCGUAAGGGCCGGCUUGACGCCACCCCGGGAGGAAGCACCGGCUAACUCCGUGCCAGCAGCUGCGGUAAUACGGAGAGUGCAAGCGUUGCUCGGAUUCACUGGGCUUAAAGGGCACGUAGGCGGUCAGGCGACCCAUGCGUGAAAGCCUUCCGCUCAACGGAAGAAUUGCGCGUGGAAUUACCCGACUAGAGGACGGUAGGGGAGCGUGGAACUCCUGGUGGAGCGGUGAAAUGCGUAGAUAUCAGGAGGAACGCCGGAGGCGAAAGCGACGCUCUGGGCCGUCCCUGACGCUGAGGUGCGAAAAGCCAGGGGAGCAAACGGGAUUAGAUACCCCGGUAGUCCUGGCCGUAAACGAUGGACACUGGCUAAGGGAGGGCUAGUCCCUUCCUUGGUGUAGCGAAAGCGUUAAGUGUCCCGCCUGGGGAGUACGGUCGCAAGGCUAAAACUCAAAGGAAUUGACGGGGGCUCGCACAAGCGGUGGAGCAUGUGGUUCAAUUCGAUACUACGCGAAGAACCUUACCUGGGUUUGACAUGCUCGUAGUAGGACCCUGAAAGGGGAACGACUCGUUAAGCCGAGAGCGAGCACAGGUGUUGCAUGGCUGUCGUCAGCUCGUGUCGUGAGAUGUUGGGUUAAGUCCCGUAACGAGCGAAACCCUUGCCCUUAGUUGCUACGACCGCAAGGUCAGCACUCUGAGGGGACUGCCCGUGUCGAAUGGGAGGAAGGUGGGGACGACGUCAAGUCAUCAUGGCCCUUAUACCCAGGGCUACACACGUGCCACAAUGGCCGGUACAAAGGGUUGCCAACCCGCAAGGGGGAGCCAAUCUCUAAAAACCGGUCCCAGUUCGGAUCGGGGGCUGCAACUCGCCCCCGUGAAGCCGGAAUCGCUAGUAAUCGCGGAUCAGCCACGCCGCGGUGAAUAUGUUCCCGAACCUUGUACACACCGCCCGUCAAGCCACCCAAGCACGGGGUGUCUAAAGUCGCGAACCCAACCGCAAGGAGGGCCGCGCCCAAGACAAAACGUGUGAGGAGGGCUAAGUCGUAACAAGGUA
rnacentral:rRNA from 1 species